ACGGGAGGCAGCAGUGGGGAAUAUUGGGCAAUGGGCGAAAGCCUGACCCAGCGACGCCGCGUGAGGGAAGACGGUCUUCGGAUUGUAAACCUCUGUUGUAAAGGACGAAAGAGAUGACGGUACUUUACGAGGAAGCCACGGCUAACUACGUGCCAGCAGCCGCGGUAAUACGUAGGUGGCGAGCGUUAUCCGGAUUUACUGGGUGUAAAGGGUGUGUAGGCGGGUCUGCAAGUUAGAUGUGAAAAUUAUGGGCUUAACUCAUAACCUGCAUUUAAAACUACGGAUCUUGAGGUUCGGAGGGGUAAACGGAAUUCCUGGUGUAGCGGUGAAAUGCGUAGAUAUCAGGAGGAACACCGGUGGCGAAGGCGGUUUACUGGACGAAUACUGACGCUGAGACACGAAAGCGUGGGGAGCAAACAGGAUUAGAUACCCUGGUA
rnacentral:rRNA from 2 species